rnacentral:tRNA from 2 species
GGAAGGGUGUCUGAGUGGUUGAAAGAGCGGCUCUCGAAAAGCCGUAUCCGCCGACGAGGCGGAUCGUGGGUUCAAAUCCCACCCCUUCCGCCA